rnacentral:rRNA from 1 species
AAGGAUCAUUAAUGAAUUCACUAUGGAGUUGUUGCUGGCCUCUAGGGGCAUGUGCACGCUUCACUAGUCUUUCAACCACCUGUGAACUUUUGAUAGAUCUGUGAAGUCGUCUCUCAAGUCGUUAGACUUGGUUUGCUGGGAUGUAAACGUCUCGGUGUGACUACGCAGUCUAUUUACUUAUAACACCCCAAAUGUAUGUCUACGAAUGUCAUUUAAAGGGCCUUGUGCCUAUAAACCAUAAUACAACUUUCAACAACGGAUCUCUUGGCUCUCGCAUCGAUGAAGAACGCAGCGAAAUGCGAUAAGUAAUGUGAAUUGCAGAAUUCAGUGAAUCAUCGAAUCUUUGAACGCACCUUGCGCCCCUUGGUAUUCCGAGGGGCAUGCCUGUUUGAGUGUCAUUAAAUUCUCAAACUCACUCUGGUUUUUCCAAUUGUGAUGUUUGGAUUGUUGGGGGCUGCUGGCCUUGACAAGUCGGCUCCUCUUAAAUGCAUUAGCAGGACUUCUCAUUGCCUCUGCGCAUGAUGUGAUAACUAUCACUCAUCAAUAGCACGCAUGAAUAGAGUCUGGCUCUCUAACCGUCCGCAAGGACAAUUUGACAAUUUGACCUCAAAUCAGGUAGGACUACCCGCUGAACUUAA